CCCUUAGAUGUUCUGGGCCGCACGCGCGCUACACUGACGAAGUCAGCGAGCAUGUCCUACGCCGACAGGUGCGGGGAAUCUUGUCAAACUUCGUCGUGAUGGGGAUUGAUUAUUGAAAUUCUUGAUCAUCAACGAGGAAUUCCUAGUAAGCGCAAGUCAGCAGCUUACGUUGAUUACGUCCCUGUCCUUUGUACACACCGCCCGUCGCUACUACCGAUUGAAUGGUUUAGUGAGAUCUUCGGAUUGGCGCCACUGCGGCUCAGCAAUGGGCUCGGUGGAUGCCGAAAAGUUGAUCAAACUUGAUCAUUUAGAGGAAGUAAAAGUCGUAACA
rnacentral:rRNA from 1 species